CAUGCAAGUCGAACGAGAAAGUGGGGGCAACUCCAUGAGUACAGUGGCAGACGGGUGAGUAACACGUGAACAACCUGCCCUUGAGUGUGGAAUAACACCGCGAAAGCGGUGCUAAUACCGCAUGACAUCUCCGGGCCGCAUGACCUGGAGAUCAAAAGCGAAAGCUGCUCGAGGAGGGGUUCGCGCCUGAUUAGCUAGUUGGUGAGGUAACGGCCCACCAAGGCUGCGAUCAGUAGCCGGCCUGAGAGGGCGAACGGCCACACUGGAACUGAGACACGGUCCAGACUCCUACGGGAGGCAGCAGUGGGGAAUUUUGCGCAAUGGGCGAAAGCCUGACGCAGCAACGCCGCGUGGAGGAUGAAGGUCUUCGGAUCGUAAACUCCUGUCAGUGGGGACGAAUGCCUCGCAAGGGGUUUGACUG
rnacentral:rRNA from 1 species